ensembl:snRNA predicted gene, 24959
AUACUUAACCUGACAGGGAUACACCAUGACUAAGAAAGUGAUCUUUCCAGGCCAAGACUCUUCCAUUGCACUUGGGAUUUGCUGACCUAAAAUAUACUGUCACUAAAUGGGAGAAAUGCCACUGAAGAGUCUGUUAUAAAAUUUGA